rnacentral:rRNA from 1 species
UACUCGAGUGGCGAAAGGGCGAGGAAUACAUGGGCAACGUGCCUUCUGCACGAGGAUAACUGCGGGAAGCUGCAGUUAAUACUCGAUAAGACCACAGCACCUUCGGGUGCAGGGGUCAAAGGUGGGGACCUUCGGGCCUACCGGCAUUAGAGCGACCCAUGUCCUAUCAGCUUGUUGGUGAGGUAACGGCUCACCAAGGCGACGACGGGUACCGGGACUGAGAGGUUGACCCGGCGCAUCGGGACUGAGACACUGCCCGGACUCCUACGGGAGGCUGCAGUAACGAAUAUUCCGCAAUGGGCGAAAGCCUGACGGAGCGACGCCGCGUGUGGGAGGAAGCCCUUCGGGGUGUAAACCACUGUCAGGGAUUACCAAGCAAAGUUGGCGAAUAGCCUUCUGCGUUGAGGCGUCCCAGAGGAAGCCACGGCUAACUUCGUGCCAGCAGCCGCGGUAAUACGAAGGUGGCGAGCGUUGUUCGGAAUCACUGGGCUUAAAGGGCACGCAGGCGGACUGUCAAGCGUCUUGUGAAAGCCCCCGGCUUAACCGGGGAAUUGCUGGGCGAACUGGCAGUCUUGAGGCAGGUAAGGGCGAGCGGAACUCUUGGUGGAGCGGUGGAAUGCGUAGAUAUCAAGAGGAACGCCGGAGGCGAAAGCGGCUCGCUGGGCCUGACCUGACGCUGAGGUGCGAAAGCCAGGGGAGCGAACGGGAUUAGAUACCCCGGUAGUCCUGGCCAUAAACGAUGUCCACUAGAUCGGUGAACUUCUGACAGUGCGCCGGUCGAAACAAAAGCGUUAAGUGGACCGNCUGGGGAGUACGGUCGCAAGGCUAAAACUCAAAGGAAUUGACCGGGGCUCACACAAAGCGGUGGAAGCAUGUUGCUUAAUUCGAUGCAA